ACGUAGGGGGCGAGCGUUGUCCGGAAUCACUGGGCGUAAAGCGCACGUAGGCGGGCUGUCAAGUCGGCCGUGAAAGGCAUGGGCUCAACCUGUGCAUGUCGGUCGAUACUGGCGGUCUGGAGUAUGGGAGAGGGAACUGGAAUUCCCGGUGUAGCGGUGAAAUGCGUUGAUCUCGGAAGGACCACCAGUGGCGAAGGCGGGUCCCUGGCCCGGGACUGACGCUGAGGUACGAAAGCCAGGGGAGCGAACGG
rnacentral:rRNA from 1 species